UCAGAUCAAAAGAGAAAAACCAGAUCGAAAAAAAGAGAAAUCAUAAAAGAGAGAGAGAGAGGCGAUUCCAGAAUUGGAGAUAUUUUGUUCAUCUCGAUUCAAUUUAAAAGACCUAUAGUUUCUCUCGAUUCAUCAUUGAAAAGAAGAAAGCAUUUUAGGUUUUGGUUCAUCUCGAUUCAUCUCCAUUAGUUGUUGCUUGAAAAAAUUAUAAGAUCUACAAUUUCAUUUCUCGAUUCUCAGAGAACAAAGGAAAAAAACGGAACCUAAACUGAUACAUUUCUAGCAUCGUACUUUAUGGAUCCUCACCUGCAAGUGCUAGAGAUAAUUUUGAUUACUUUAUGAAACUUCUUCUCAUGGUUGAUAACGACUUACUUGGACGAGUAUAUAUUUGGUUGGUUCUUUGAAGAAAGGGAGGCAAUUAUUUCUGCAAGUGAGUUUCAUUUUAUAAUGCAAGGCCUUAUAUAGAUAGAAAGCUAUAUGUAGUCUUAUCUGAUUAUGGUAUGCUGCAAAGAAAAUUAUGGACAACAAAAAUGUGGAUUCUGGUGAAGACGGUCCAGUUGAGUCUGUCAGUGAUGAUGAAGACGACGAUAAGGAAAUAUUGGAUCCUGAUUUUGAAGGCUCUGAUGCUGAUACUCGGACAGGGAAAGUAGUUUAUCAACAGAUGAAAACGAUGGUGAUGUUAAUAAUGUUUUAAUUGGAAGGAAGAACCGUAUAAGAUUUAAGUUGUGGAUGAAGGUUAGAGAUCUCUAUAAAGAGAUUGUUCCCAUGGACUUGUUGUAUAUGAUGUAGAGUUUAUUUUUGAAGCUGCUCAGAUCUUUGCAUCAUUCAAUGAUAAAAUUAUUAUGUGUACGUGUCCAGUCUCAUUAAUGUAGUCUCAUUAAUGUAUUGUCUGUUUCGUGAGUAUGGAUGUUGAAUUCUCUGGUCUUUUGUAGAUGUGUACAUAGUUGUACACCAUUGUCCCAUCUUAUUGAUAUAUUGCAUGUUAUGUGUAAGUAUUGGAAUUGCACUUAUUUAACUAAUCCAUGUUUCAACAUCAUGAGUUUAAAAACAUUGAAUCUUAGAAAAUGCUUUUUCAGCAUAAAA